UACAGAGGGUGCAAGCGUUGCUCGGAAUUAUUGGGCGUAAAGGGUAGGUAGGUGGUCUUAUUUGUCUGGGGUGAAAGCCUCGAGCUUAACUCGAGAAGUGCCCCGGAAACGGUAAGACUAGAGUUCUGGAGAGGUGAGUGGAAUUCCCGGUGUAGCGGUGAAAUGCGUAGAGAUCGGGAGGAACACCAGAGGCGAAGGCGGCUCACUGGACAGAUACUGACACUGAACUACGAAAGCGUGGGGAGCAAACAGG
rnacentral:ncRNA from 2 species